AUCAGAAGAAAAUAAGGUCUAUGAUUGGGCUUCUUUUGAAUUAGAGGAGAUUGUUACAUGGCCACUAUCUUACCAAUACAUCUAAUUCAGGUGUCUAUUACUACUGAGUCUUCCCCUACUCUUUCCCAUACCCUGAGGAUACUGUCUGUGGGAAAACCAUAAGUCUGGUAUUAUGUGUCUGCCUGUAUGUGUCUGUGUGUUUGAAGGCUACACCUUGCCGAGGCCUCAGCAGGGAGUGUGGGGAGGAUGAGCAGUACAGUGCAGAGAAUUUACGUCGCAUCUCACGCAGUCUCAGUGGCACCGUUGUCUCAGAGAGGGAGGAAGCUCCGGUUUCUUCCCACAGUUUUGAUUCAUCAAACGUGAGGAAGCCUUUGGAAACCGGGCACCGUUGUUCCAGCUCCUCUUCCCUCCCUGUCAUCCAUGACCCUUCUGUGUUUCUCCUCGGUCCCCAACUCUACCUUCCCCAACCACAGUUCCUGUCCCCAGAUGUCCUGAUGCCCACCGUGGCAGGGGAGCCCAAUAGACUCCCAG
rnacentral:sRNA from 1 species